CCUCAGAAAGAAACCAAGGUUUAUCGAACCAGGAGGAGCCAAGAAGCACGUUGAAGGUUGAUGGUGGCGAAAUGUGAUGCGGCGCAACACCAGGGAUUCCGGCGCCAACGUGGAACCUGCACAACACAACCAAAGUACUUUGCCCCAACGAAACAGUGAGGUUGUCAAUCUCACCGGCUUGCUGUAACAAAGGAUUAACCGUAUUGUGUGGAAGAUGAUUGUUUGCAAGAAAACAGUAAAACAAGUAUUGCAGUAGAUUGUAUGCGAUGUAAAGAAUAGGACCGGGGUCCACAGUUCACUAGAGGUGUCUCUCCCAUAAGAUAAAGCAUGUUGGGUAAACAAAUUACAGUCGGGCAAUUGACAAAUAGAGAAAGGCAUAACAAUGCAUAUACAUGA